rnacentral:lncRNA from 1 species
AAAAAACUCUGAAACACUACCCAUUCAAAAACACAAAAGUAUUGAUGCUUUUAUUACUUUUAACGUGAUGCAGCUCAGAGUCCAACGCUGAUUGGAUAGUUAAGUGCUGACUGGAUAAUGAACACAGCUUCACUGGGCUGCACCCAUCAGAGACAGCUUCAGAGAGUGGUGGUAGAGGCUACAUAGCUGAAAGGAAUCGCGCCUUGCCUGCCUGGAUGUGUCUGUAUCUAACAUUGAGGUCUUUCCCCUCUUGGCUUCACAGAUUAGAAAAGAGGGGGAUAGAGAAGGAUGAUAACCAACCCAGUUCACAGCUGGACCAUAAUUCAGGUUUCCUGUUUGGGGCCAACUGUCUUUCCAUAACAUCAUGCUGCCUUCCAAGACAAAGAACAGAAUCCCUUCUUUGUCAAUUAGCUCCUCACCGUAGAACACUUCCUACGCACACAACAGGAAGCUGAGGUUCAGAGAGGGUAAGAAACAUUGCCUAAGACCACGCGGCUGGAAAGUGGAACUGUUUGCUACCUAAGAGGGAGAAUGAGAAACAUGCCAAAGGGCUGAAUGCCAGAAUCAAGAAGAAAAUGCUUGCUGUGAAGGAAAUAACAGUGGGAAAGGAUUCAGACCAGGCAAGAGCAAGUUUUUGUGGCGGCCCCAAAGCCUCAGAGCCUCUUUCCGUUUCCUCUCAUUUGUCCCCUAAAUGUUGUGCAAUGAUGGGUUGACAAAGGUGGAAACCUUGAAAGAUUUAAUAAUAAUUUUGUAAAGGUCAUUAAAAAGUGCUUUACAACUGUUUAUCUUUAUCUUUUAAUUCCUGUUUUGAGAAACAGGAAGAAAAAUAAACAGGAAAAGUCCAUGAAAAUCCCCA